CCUACGGGAGGCAGCAGUGGGGAAUAUUGGACAAUGGGCCCAAGCCUGAUCCAGCCAUGCCGCGUGAGUGAUGAAGGCCUUAGGGUUGUAAAGCUCUUUCAGUAGGGAAGAUAAUGACGGUACCUACAGAAGAAGCCCCGGCUAACUUCAAUGCCAGCAGCCGCGGUAAU
rnacentral:rRNA from 1 species